rnacentral:tmRNA from 1 species
GGGGGUGUUACGGAUUCGACAUGCGUAGGUGAGUGUGAGUUGCAUUCCGCAGGAGACGUCUGCGUCAUCACCGUCACAGUUAAUAUAACUGCAAAAGAUCAAAAUUCUUACGCUUUAGCUGCCUAAUCACAGCUUACUAGCGUGAUCCUUCAUCGCCGUGACCCGGGCGGUGGUCAAGGGUCUCAAAAAAUCACCGGGUUACGAUUCAGCGCUACACCUGGGUGCUGAAUAAGAGACUUACAGGCAUGUCUGUGCGUGCCAGCCUUGAUUAGCGGCGUUUCGUGCAGACGAGAUUAAUAAGUUGUUAAUCUAUGAAUGUAGAGAUUUGCAUGGCAAUGCGUAUGGACACGGGUUCAACUCCCGUCACCUCCAUAA